CGCUCAGCUUGGUAGAGCACUUGGUUUGGGACCAAGGGGUCGCAGGUUCGAAUCCUGUCUUCCCGACCA
rnacentral:tRNA from 1 species